CCCAGUGCUGCUCCUUUUCCUGGGCAGGGCUGGCAAACAGCCCCUGCUCCUCCUGGGCUGAAAUCCCACUCCAUCAGCAGCAAUAGAAUGUUUUGAAAGGACAGACAUCCCUGUCUGCUCUGGGUGAGUCUCUGCUCCAGGGGCUGGCUGUGUGGUGAGCCUGGAGCAGGGUCCUGCACCCACAGCUCAGCUCAGGUGGAGCUGGGGAACUUUGAGACAGGACUAUUGUGCUGCAGGAAAGGGGUGGUUGAUAAGCAGAAGGAGCUCCUGCCCCUCUCCUCCAGUGAUCCCAGCCCUGGGCUGGCUGUGGCCAUAAACCCCCAAUCUCUGCUCUAUCUCCCAUCAUGAACAUCUCAGCUCAAGGCCUGGCACGGCAACCUCCAAAAGAUAAAGCCAUCUUAGGCUGAACAUGGUACAAAACACUCAAUUUUUAUAGAGCCCUCUUAUCGCCCAAAACUCAGAGCAAUCCUGCCUUUUUAUCACCGGGACAAGAGCCAUCCUUCCUGCUCACCGUUAGGAAUUGCUGCUGCUUGAUUAAAGUGGAGGGCAUGAUGUAUUUGCCUGAACAUUAAACUCUAACUGACCUCUCC